rnacentral:rRNA from 1 species
UACGUACCGUCCAAACGUUAUUCGGAAUCACUGGGCUUAAAGAGUUCGUAGGCGGCCCAGAAAGUUGGGUGUGAAAUCCCUCGGCUCAACCGAGGAAUUGCGCUCAAAACUACUGGGCUAGAGGGAGAUAGAGGUGAGCGGAACGUGAUGGUGGAGCGGUGAAAUGCGUUGAUAUCAUCAGGAACACCGGAGGCGAAGGCGGCUCACUGGGUCUUUCCUGACGCUGAGGAACGGAAAGCUAAGGGAGCGAACGGG